rnacentral:rRNA from 1 species
UAGGGAAUCUUGCGCAAUGGGCGAAAGCCUGACGCAGCCAUGCCGCGUGAAUGAUGAAGGUCUUAGGAUUGUAAAAUUCUUUCACCGGGGAAGAUAAUGACGGUACCCGGAGAAGAAGCCCCGGCUAACUUCGUGCCAGCAGCCGCGGUAAUACGAAGGGGGCUAGCGUUGCUCGGAAUUACUGGGCGUAAAGGGCGCGUAGGCGGAUAGUUUAGUCAGAGGUGAAAGCCCAGGGCUCAACCUUGAGAUGCCUUUGAUACUGGCUAUCUUGAGUUCGGGAGAGGUGAGUGGAAUGCCGAGUGUAGAGGUGAAAUUCGUAGAUAUUCGGCGGAACACCAGUGGCGAAGGCGACUCACUGGCCCGAUACUGACGCUGAGGCGCGAAAGCGUGGGGAGCAAACA